ACGUAGGGGGCGAGCGUUGUCCGGAAUUAUUGGGCGUAAAGAGCUCGUAGGCGGCUCAGCAAGUCGGCUGUGAAAUCCCGAGGCUCAACCUCGGAACUGCAGUCGAUACUGCUGUGGCUAGAGUCUGGUAGAGGAGAGUGGAAUUCCCGGUGUAGCGGUGAAAUGCGCAGAUAUCGGGAGGAACACCAGUAGCGAAGGCGGCUCUCUGGGCCAGUACUGACGCUGAGGAGCGAAAGCGUGGGGAGCAAACAGGA
rnacentral:rRNA from 1 species